GAACAAUGUUUCAUAUGAAGCAAAUGUCUUUCAGUUCCUGGUGGCAUUUCUGACAGCUUCUGGAAGAGGAGUUCUGCUUGGCAGAUUCCUGGAGUGUCUUCUACAUGCUUCAACCUGUUCUCUCCCAGGACCUCCCAUUACCCCUUCUUUCCUCCUAUCAAGGAAGAUGUCUCAAAGGAUCCCACAAGGUGGAAAGCAGAAGCAGUCUGAAAAGUGUGGCAGGGAUGUGCCUGCGAAUAUCUACUAGUCUGAGACUUGUCACCUCUCCAGGAGGGAGAAGGAAAGAGAAUGAGGCAUGUUUGAGUGUGGUGCACUUCAGGUCUGGGUUCACAUUGAGCCACCUGAGAGGAGCUGGGAAAGUGCUGUUUCUCAUCAUUUCCACCCAGCAAGAGAAUUGGAGAGAAAGAGCUACACCCAAGCCAAUUAUGGCAGGGUCCUUGGGGGCUGUUAUGUAAUCUUCCAGAGACAGUGGAAUGGAGUGGGCCUUGAGUUCCAGUGGGCACACUGGCUGAAGUCUUUUCUGUACUCCAGGUCUUGGGCCAUCUGUGGUGGAGCAAGCUCCCUCAAUGCUGGAGAAAGUCCUUUGGCAGAGAAGAAGCUUACAGCAUGCUGGGACCUGCCUGCUGCACCUGUGGGGGGAUUUAGCAUCAUCAUUCUACCCGUGGACUAUUGGGACAACCUCCUAACACAUCUCCCUAUCUCCAAUCCACCAAUACUAAUGCCUGUGACACAGACUGAGUCCUACCACUUCCCUUUCAGAGAACUCUGGUGUUUCUCAUUCUCUACUCCUUACUGA
rnacentral:lncRNA from 1 species